rnacentral:rRNA from 1 species
AUGUUCUAUCGGUGCCAUAGAAGUUUAGUAUCGAAUCAAACCACCCUGUCAAUCUGCUCUUGGAAUGUCAGACGGCUGGGCGACCCGCAAAAAUGCAUCAACGUCCUCUCUGAACUCAUCAACUUAAAUCCACAUCUCGCUUUGGUUCAAGAAACAAAAUUAGCUUCGGUCGAUGAGUUCAAAUUCCAGUUCUUCAUCCCACGGACUAUAGAAUACCACGUUCUCUUGACAACAAUUGGCACUGCAGGCGGGGCCAUCUCGACGGCUAACUCCAGAUUCUUUAACAUUACCAAUCAACAAAACUACACCUUCUCCACAACCAUCAACCUCUCCACCACGGCUCACCCUGCUCCUAUUGUAAUCACCAAUGUCUAUGCUCCUUCCAAUCGCUCCUUAAAGCUAGACUUGGUCAAUAAACUACUAACCAUCAAAGAAGAGGAUCACAUCCCCUGGCUCAUUAUCGGUGACUUCGAUCUCCCUACAUUUUUCCUCCGAAAAGAACAAGCAAUCAUUCCAGCAAUCAAAGGCCAACUCUUUCAAGGACACCAUUGA